rnacentral:rRNA from 1 species
UACGGAGGAUGCGAGCGUUAUCCGGAUUUAUUGGGUUUAAAGGGUGCGUAGGCGGUUUUAUAAGUUAGAGGUGAAAUCUCGGGGCUCAACUCCGAAAUUGCCUCUAAUACUGUAGGACUAGAGAGUAGUUGCGGUAGGCGGAAUGUAUGGUGUAGCGGUGAAAUGCAUAGAUAUCGCGCAGAACCCCGAUUGCGAAGGCAGCCUGCCGGCCCCACACUGACGCUGAGGCACGAAAGCGUGGGUAUCGAACAGG